rnacentral:rRNA from 1 species
AGUUGAUCUGGCUCAGGAUGAACGCUAGCGGCAGGCUUAACACAUGCAAGCGAGGGCAUCGGGAGUAGCAAUACUGCCGGCGACCGGCGCAAGGGUGCGUAACGCGUGAGCAACAUGCCCGUAUCAGGGGGAUAAUCCAUGGAAACGUGGUCUAAUACCCCAUAGUAAUUAUGUAAGGCAUCUUAUAUAAUUUAAAGCUUUGGUGGAUACGGAUUGGCUCGCGUGACAUUAGCUAGAUGGUAAGGUAACGGCUUACCAUGGCUACGAUGUCUAGGGGUUCUGAGAGGAAGGCCCCCCACACUGGAACUGAGACACGGUCCAGACUCCUACGGGAGGCAGCAGUGAGGAAUAUUGGACAAUGGAUGGAAAUCUGAUCCAGCCAUGCCGCGUGCAGGAAGACGGCCCUAUGGGUUGUAAACUGCUUUUGUAUGGGAGCAAUAAGGGCUACGCGUAGUCCGAUGAGAGUACCAUACGAAUAAGCACCGGCUAACUCCGUGCCAGCCGCGGC